rnacentral:lncRNA from 1 species
UCCGGUUUAAUGAGGCAUGGCAUGGCAAUGUGCACAAACAAUAUGAAAAAUUAAGUGGAGCUCAAUAUGCAACGAGUUGCAUAUUGACGAAACACCACAUUCAAUCAUUUAGUUCACUCUCAUUUAUGUACCCAACAAUAUUAAAUGUUGUUAAACAUGGCAAGAUGUGAAGCAUAAUAAAUCUACCUAUCUAGGCAAGUUUAAAUGAGGCCGGAACAACAAGCAACAAGUCCGAAAAAAUCCUCAUGUGCAUAUUUUAAAGUUGGUACUAUUCUGCCCCAUACACAAUUUUAGAAUUGUUAAACAUGCAAAGUACUGCCACCAUGUUCAUCUAUGCAUUUUUAUACCCCAUUUACAUAUAAAGUUUAUUAAAUUUAAAGCUACGGUUAUUAAAUUAUGAAUUAAAUCAUUUUAGCAUGUCACUAGAGCAAAUUUAAACAAACAACAUUUUAAACAUGGAUACAAGUGGCAUAUUAUGAAACUACACAAAAUUCUAAGCAUUUUACAUAUUAAGUUUGUUUAAUUAUGAUGCAUGGUUCUGAAGUUAUGAAAUUCAUGAUCUAGAGGGACUUUUCUAUAAAUUUGUAAAACCUUGAUAAUAACUAAAAUCACAGGCACUGAAAAAAACACUAGGACGAAACUGAGUGCACUGCUGGGCCAACAUAGAGGAGGGCUGUGGGCGCUCACCCAUGGGCCAAGCCUAGCUGGGCGGCGAAGCGGCUUGGGCCGGCCUUGAAGGCGCAUUGGGCUGGUCCACGCGGGCGAGGGGAGCUGGGCCUGCGAGGCACAGGCUGCAGAGGUGAGGCGCUGGGCCUGGGCAUGGUCAACGCAUGCAUGCGAUGUGCGGUCGUGGCUUGAGGCGGGGUGUUGACCUCCUGCUUGAACCAGAAGCAAAGGAGGAGGCGGCCGGACAUGACGCAGCGAUGGGAACCUGCUGGAUCCAACAAGCAGUCAAACGAGGAGGUCAGGCAAGAGGCGAUGCUCGACGCAGGGCUGCCGGACCUAGUGCAGCGGAGGUCACAGGCGAGGCGGAGGAAGGCGGGGCGCGGAGCUCAAGCUGCGCGUCCAUGGCGAUGUAGAGGAUGGAGGCGUCGACUUGGCGGCAGGGACAUCGCGGGGAUGGUGGAGGCUUGGCGUUCGAUCCGGAGCAAGGAAGACAAGGGGUGACGCGACUGGAACGGCUACGCGACGAGAGGCACCGCUGGAGUUGUAGGCCACGGCAACGGCGGGGCGCGGUUCAGAGGAAGCAAGGGCAGCAGCAGCGGGGCUUGAGGCCGACGAUGGGAAUGCACGGGUGUCCAUGGCCGGUGAUUGGAGCUCCUGUUUGAACAGAGAAAGAGAGACACAGAGGUAAGACGAGGGAGGCGGAGAAACAACGGGAGGAGGAGAAGGGCAGCGAAGCUUAUCUCAUGGUCGCCGGCGGCGGCGCCGGUCGCGAGGGUGAGGCGGAGGCGCUGGUCGUCGGCUGCUGCUGCUACUCUUGCGAGGAGGCUCAGGGCAAGCUGGUUGGUCUUGAGAUGAAUCCAUAGGAGACGUGGGAGCGAAGGCAGCGCCUUGAUCCAUUCGGCAUCGAGAACGGGGUCGAUCUGAGAGGGAGAGGUGCGGUUGCUGGUUGGCAGGCUGGAUCAGGAGGGGAUCCCGAGGGGAAGAUUUGGUGAGUGGGUGGCGGCGGCUGAUCCAAGGAGGGGGAAAUCUGUAGGUGGCGGCAGCUAGGGGGGGACAAACUUCCUAGAAUUUAGGGUUUGGUCUGUAAAUGGACAAGGAGGUCUAUAUGUAGCAAAUCAGAUCAUUUUAGGGCGGUUAGGUCCUUCCGAUCGUAAUCGGGCGGUCCAAGAUAUUUAGGUUGGGAGAUUCCAACGAGAAAUCGAUGAUACUUUAUAGAAGUUUGGGGAUGAUCCGGACCCAACGGUAACGACUGCCCGGGUCGGGUCCGGGGAAGUUUCGGACGGUCGGUUGGAACUUGUGGGCUGUCCAGAAUGCGUUGGGCUGAGAGGAGAGAAAAGAGAGAGAGGCACGACAGCAGUUUUUGGAGACCGAAAACAUCCGACGUUAGACCGACUAUAUUGCGGCCAUAUGUUUAACGGUUUGGCUAUCAAACGAGCUCCGAAUGCAACGAAAAUUGACAGCCGUCUAUCUACACUAUAAUAAGACCGCACGCCAACUUUCGUCCCAUUCCUAGAACAUUUUCUGACCACUUACAAAAUAAUAUUUUGGACAUGCCGCGGGCGCGUGCGAGUGUGUCUGGGCUUAGAACGGACAACGGGGAGAACUGGGGAACCCGGACGGAUGCAAAUUUUGAAAACAUGAUGAUGCAAUGCACAUGAUGACAUGGCAAGAUGCAACACACAAGAAAAUACAUGGCAAAGAUAGCGAAAAACUAGAAGACACCUGGCGCAACGGUCUCGGGGCAUCACAACACUCCACCACUAUGGCACCGGAGAGAAACAGAAGAUGAAGAGAAGAGGUAAAACUAAGUUGCUUCUUGGACAAACGAGUGAAACCACGAACCUUGAGAGGUUGAACAAAUUUAAAGAAAGAAUGCAACCAAGAUGAACAAAGUUGAAAACAUUCCGAUAAAAAAGAGGAACAAUGAACAUUACGAGAACCUUGUAGGUUGAGAGCUCUAAGAAAAAUGUUACAAUGGACAAGAAGUACAUUUAAGCACUCUGAUUGAAACGAGAUGAACAAGGAACGAUAAAGAUUUAUUACGACAACACAUCAGUUGGAAAUGGAAGGCAAUAAUAUGAGCUUGGCAAAAUGAAAGCACUUGGAUGAGACUCCGGUUAGAAGAGGAAUGAUAGACACAACACUCCAGUUAAAACAAGAUAGAGAAGGAAUAAUAAUGAUAUAAUUUGGAUAGCACUCCGACUGAGAAGGGGGCAAAACUUGAUAAGAUGAGAGAACUUGAAUGGAUGAAAUGACACACCAGUUGAAUGGAUAAGCAAAGGAAAGAACAUGAUCUUGACAAAACAAGAUGAUGGGUCGAAGAGAGCAACAUCACAAUGCCUCCAGAACAAAUGAAAGAAUGGAAUCAAAAGAACGGAGGAGAAAGCAACAUCUUCUACCUCAAAUGAGCUUGAAAAAGCAUCUUUAGGAGAAGGGUCGAACGGAGUUGUUGGAAAACCAACAACGAAAAGAGUAAGCUUGUUGUGGGCUUAAGGAAAACAUCCCAAAACUUGGGGUGAAAUUCUGCCACUACCAAAAGAUUGGUUAGCUGAAAGGAACGAAGAGAUGGAAAAAAACUUCUCUCACCGUGAGAGUAGGAGGAAACUUGGAUCAAUAAAUAGCACCAUAAUUAGCAACAUUCCUUAGGGAAGGAUUUAGGUGAAAUAUAACCCAUGAUAACUCCCACGGAGAGAUUGAUGGGUUGCAAAGGAUCUCAUGAACGAAGAGAAAAUGAUGGGUUUAAAAUAUCUCAUUCUUAACAACUUGUGACUCAUGAAACACGAAAGAAAUUGACAAGAAUGGCAUAACACCACCUCAAAAGAUAAGGUAGAAAGAACUGCACUUCGGAAUGCAAUAUGAAGAAUGCUUGAACUCCUCAAAACAAGACAUGUGUUGAACACCAUGUUUAUUUUAGAGUAUAGCUUUGGCGGAUCAUAACUUCGAGAGAAAUCUUGAAGAACAAAUGACGAAUGAGAGGAAUCCUUGACGAACCAUCAUGUAGCCUCCAUGAAGAACUCCGAUAAUAAAAGAAUGAUCAAAAAGAAGUGAAGGGAAAAGAAUAAGAUUGAAGCCUUGCAAUGAUUAGUUGGAACUUCGUGACGAGAUAAUGCGGAAAACUUGGAACUCCAGAAAAGAAAAGAUGAAGCAUCUCGAACUGAGAAAUGUGACACGAUGAACAACUCUGGAAAGAAGAAACUAGAUCACUUGUAUGAAACAAUAAUAAGAAUUAUGUUAUGCGCAUCCUUCACCAAAUUAAAUUGAUGAGAAGCAACGGAUUUGGCAUACUACUUAUUCUCAUAGAAAGGAUUAAGAGAGAUAUAGCACAAACUUGGGAAGGUCUUCAACAAACCACUGGUAGGAUUUGGAAACAACGAAUGAAUUCAUAUGAAAACAAAGGAAGAAGAAUCUUGAACAAACCACCGUAAGAAUUGAAAAUGAAAGUGGCAAAAGCACAAUUCAUCAGGAAGAAUUGGAAAAGGAACGAAGAUACUUAAGAGAAUCAAGAUGAAAGAGAAUAAAGAGAUCGUGGGCUGUUUAAAGAAUGCUUGAAUGAUGCACUGGUAAAAUUUGGACAACGAGAACUGAAAACUGGAAUGCAUUAUUCUGAGAUGAUGGACUCCGAAGAAUCAAACUGAAAAAAUACUCAUGAAUUUCUCCGGAUGGGUGAAAAGGAUUCUCCAAUCGAAAAAAAUAUGAGAGGAUGGCAGCAAGCUUGAACCACGAAUCUUUGGAAGAGCGGGUGAGGAUUUAAGAGGAAAUCCUCUUCGGUCUUCAAGAUCCAAGAAUGACAACGAGAAACACCACCAUGAAUUAUUGAGAUACUCCGGGAGAAUGAAUAAUGAAGAAGUUCAGCCAACGAUGAAAAGAAUUUGAAACAUCUUGGAGGAAGACAUAUGACUGAUGAUAAUUCAUUCUUACGUCAAACUUUGCAAUGAAUUUGAGAAUAACUCCGAAAAGAAUUAGAAGAGUCAGGUAAGAUCCUAGAGAAAGACCUGUGGGUUAGGGCCCACUUAAAAGAAACACCGUUGAACGAUUGCUCAGGAAGAGAUAAUGCACCAGUUGAUUUGAACGUCUUGAACGAGGUAACAACCUCGAAAUAGCUUGGAAGGAACAAGAAUGGAAACUUGAAUCUUUUGGGAUAUCUUCAGCACUCUAGAUAAACAUGAAUAGCAAGAGGUGGCAUGAGAAAACAUUUAAAACGAGGAAAGGAAUAUGAUCAACACUAAAAGCUUGAAUUGAAUCCACCGGAGAAGAAAUAGAACGAAGAAUGAUGAACUUGAAGCUUCCUUAGUAUCUCCACGAGAAAUCACCGGGUAAGAACAUUGAAGGAAAGAAUGAAGAAACUUCACACCCAUAUGAUGGAUACUUGAUUAAGAAAUAUGAGUCCUUGAAGAAAAAGGGUGGGAGGGCGGGAAAACAAAGGAACCUUGGGACGGAUGAAACAAACACCGGUGAGAAAACUGAGAUUGCAUCUUGCAAAUGGGAAAAAUGAUAGGAUCAUCUUGAAGAGAAGCACACCGGUUGGAAAUAGAAUUGAGAUGACAACCUUGAUGAUCAAGAAGGAUUUAUACUCCCACGGGAAUAUGGAACACUGCUUAGAAACAAGCAUGGAAUCAACAUUUGACUUUGAAGCAACGCGAAUACCAAAACUCAAAACAAAACAAAGGAUUUGGCUUGCAGAAUAAACUGGAAACAAACAUAUGAUAGAUCCCAUAUCGUAUCAUGUGUCUGUUGGAAAGAUAUUCUAGGAUCUACUUGAAUUCCCACCUAUAAACUCCUGAAGCUUUCUGGUUAUGCAAUCAGGUGUUGGGGAUAUAGGGGAAGCAUAAUAUCUCACCCAAACUAACAAUCCCUACAUCUAGUUGUAUCCAUCCUUCAACACAUAACCAAGAAACCUUCGGAAAUCGUGUACCUCAACCUUCGAAAAGCAUACGUUAUACGAGUUAUGGCAAUACUCCCGAACUCCCGCCAAAUACUGGGUGGCGUCGAGGUUAUCUCACCAACAACUGCAUAAAAGAGAUUUUUGAUGUCGGUGAAACUCAGGUAUUCUAGAACUACAACCAUAAAAUUGUGACGACGACACCUCAGAGCUCAACUCCCAGGCACACUGCCACAACCCCUAAAUGUCAGGAGGCACCAAGAACAAUGUUCUCGUCACAAGAAUAUCGGAAUGAUUCCAAGAUACCCGUGUGAUCCUAGAAAUUUUUUUAGUGAAAUUUGACGAGAGGAAAGUCAAAACUUCUACGUCAGGAGGCAUCACCAGAGCGACAAAGGGACUGAGGAGUAAAAAUAAUCCCACUCUCCGAUAUAUAUAAUCCUAAGACUCAAAACAUUUUGAUCUAGACUCAAUAACGUCAGCGAUUCGAUCAAGCAGGGGGCUCCUAAGUCGGGAUGGCUCUGAUACCAACUUAUAACACCCACGAUGCGGCUAUAUCUCCCACGUGUCGAGGCGCGACUUAGAGGCAUAACCGCAUGGUGGUUUAGUCGCAAGUGGGGUAAUCUUCACACAAUCCCAUGUACCGAAUAAGAAAGGGAUAAAGAGUUGGCUUACAAUCGCCACUUCACACAAAUAACAAGUUAAACAUACAUCAUCCAGAAUACAAUAAAGGUCCAACUACGGGACCAAAAUAAAAGAAGACAACCCCAAAUGCUAGAUCCCCGAUCAUCCCAACUGGGCACCACAACUGAUCAUCCGGAAAAGACACAUAACAACGACCAAGAUCUUCAUCGAGCUCCCACUUGAGCUUGGUUGUGUCACCUGCACUGGUAUCAUGGGCACCUGCAACUAUGUGGAAGUAUCUGUGAGUCACGAGGGCUCAACAAUCUCACACUAGCGUGAUCAAGACUAUUUAAGCUUAUGGGUAGGACAGGGUAAUGAGGUGGAGCUACAGCAAGCACUAAGCAUAUAUGGUGGCUAACAUACGAAAAUAAGAGCGAGAAGAGAAGCAACACAGCGGCCGAGAAGCUAGAAGUGAUCAAGAAGUGAUCAUGAAACUACUUAUGUUCAAGCAUAACACAAGACCGUGUUCACUUCCCAGACUCCGCCGAAAUGAGACCAUCACGGCUACACACGCGGUUGAUGUAUUUUAAUUAAGUCAAGUGUCAAGUUCUCUACAACUGGACAUUAACAAAUUCCCGUCUGCCACAUAACCCUGGGCACGGCUUUCGAAAGUUUAUACCCUCCAGGGGUGUCCCAACUUAGCCCAUCAGAAGCUCUCAUGAUUAGCGAAGGAUAUUCCUUCUCCCGGAAAGACCCGAUCAAUUUCGGAAUCCUGGUUACAAGACAUUUCAACAAUGGUAAGACAAGACCAGCAAAGCCGCCCGAUUUUCUGACAAAUCCUGAUAGGUGUCGCACGCAUCUCAUUCUCAGGGCACACCGGAUGGGAAAGACGUCCGGUUGGCAUAGACCCUGGUUGCCCAGGGGGCGCCGAACAUCACCCAGUUCGGACCAACACUCAGAGGAGCACUNNNNNNNNNNNNNNNNNNNNNNNNNNNNNNNNNNNNNNNNNNNNNNNNNNNNNNNNNNNNNNNNNNNNNNNNNNNNNNNNNNNNNNNNNNNNNNNNNNNNNNNNNNNNNNNNNNNNNNNNNNNNNNNNNNNNNNNNNNNNNNNNNNNNNNNNNNNNNNNNNNNNNNNNNNNNNNNNNNNNNNNNNNNNNNNNNNNNNNNNNNNNNNNNNNNNNNNNNNNNNNNNNGUUAAAAUAAAGAUGACCCUCGGGCUUCGGAAACCCAAGGGGAAAAGGCUUAGGUUAUUAGGCAAAUGUAAAACCAAGGUUGGGCCUUGCUGGAGGAGUUUUAUUCAAAGCGAACUGUCAAGGGGGGACCAUAACUCCCCAACCGCGUAAGGAACGCAAAAUCAAGGAACAUAACACCGGUAUGACGGAAACUAGGGCGACAAGAGUGGAACAAAACACCAGGUAAAAGGCCGAGCCUUCCACCCUUUACCAAGUAUAUAGAUGCAUUAAUUAAAAUAAGAGGUAUUAUGAUAUCCCAACAUAUCCAUGUUCCAACAUGGAACAAACUUCAGCUUCACCUGCAACUAACAACGCUAUAAGAGGGGCUGAGCAAAGCGGUAACAUAGCCAAACAACGGUUUGCUAGGAAGGUGGGUUAGAGGCUUGACAUGGCAACAUGGGAGGCAUGAUAUAACAAAUGGUAGGUAACGCGACAUAGUGAUAGAACGAACAACUAGCAAGCAAAGAUAGAAGUGAUUUCGAGGGUAUGGUCAUCUUGCAUGAGAUCCCACAAGGAAGAAUAACGAGUCCAAGAAGUAGACGAACCAACGUAGUCGAUCAAAUCCUCACAAUUUCGGAAUGAAACCGAAGCUAACAAGAGAAGCAACCCGGAAAGAAGCAAGAAACAUAGUAAACAACCAUCACAUAAACAUGGCAUGAUGCACAACCAAGUAUGAUGAUGUCCGGUUUAAUGAGGCAUGGCAUGGCAAUGUGCACAAACAAUACUAAAAAUUAAGUGGAGCUCAAUAUGCAACGAGUUGCAUAUUGAUGAAACACCACAUUCAAUCAUUUAGUUCACUCUCGUUUAUGUACCCAACAAUAUUAAAUGUUGUUAAACAUGGCAAGAGGUGAAGCAUAAUAAAACUACCUAUCUAGGCAAGUUUAAAUGAGGCCGGAAC